ACAAGCCUGGGCGAAGCCUGAUGCAGCGACGCCGCGUGAGGGAUGACGGCCUUCGGGUUGUAAACCUCUUUCAGUAGGGAAGAAGCGAAAGUGACGGUACCUGCAGAAGAAGCGCCGGCUAACUACGUGCCAGCAGCCGCGGUAAUACGUAGGGCGCAAGCGUUAUCCGGAAUUAUUGGGCGUAAAGAGCUCGUAGGCGGUUUGUCGCGUCUGCUGUGAAAGACCGGGGCUCAACUCCGGUUCUGCAGUGGGUACGGGCAGACUAGAGUGCAGUAGGGGAGACUGGAAUUCCUGGUGUAGCGGUGAAAUGCGCAGAUAUCAGGAGGAACACCGAUGGCGAAGGCAGGUCUCUGGGCUGUAACUGACGCUGAGGAGCGAAAGCAUGGGGAGCGAACAGGAUUAGAUACCCUGGUAGUCCAUGCCGUAAACGUUGGGCACUAGGUGUGGGGGACAUUCCACGUUUUCCGCGCCGUAGCUAACGCAUUAAGUGCCCCGCCUGGGGAGUACGGCCGCAAGGCUAAAACUCAAAGGAAAUUGACGGA
rnacentral:rRNA from 1 species